GGCUGUUGAGAGCGUGCCACGUGCGAGCGAACAAGAGAAUAAUGGCCAUGGCGCCAUCAAAGCAUCCAAAAACGUCGAUUUCCCGGGCCGUCUCCGCUUCCACUCCUACAUACCUGUUGAUGUGGGUAAGAUUUUUAGAGCGAGAGCAUUACAUCAAACACUUAAAUUGCAGUCUCCGUCGUUCUCCGGAUCGACAGAAGCAUUAGAAUGGAGUCUGGGUUGAAGCCAAUGGAUGCAGAGCAGCUCAGAGAGAAUGCUCACAAGAUGGUUGAUUUUAUUGCUGAUUACUACAAGAAUAUUGAGAGUUUGCCCGUUCUCAGCCAAGUUGAGCCCGGGUACCUCCGUAACCUCAUACCAGAUUCUGCCCCAAAUAAUCCCGAGUUGCUGCAAGAUGUCCUUGAUGACAUCCAGGCUAAAAUAAUACCGGGAGUGACCAAUUGGCAAAGCCCAAAUUAUUUUGCAUAUUAUCCUUCUAAUAGCAGUAUUGCUGGAUUUUUAGGAGAAAUGCUUAGUGGUGGUCUUAACAUCGUAGGUUUUAGUUGGGUGACUUCUCCUGCGGCAACAGAGCUUGAAAUGAUUGUUCUGGAUUGGCUUGCUAAAUUGCUGAAGCUGCCAGAGGAAUUUCUUUCUGGUGGACAAGGUGGUGGAGUGAUACAGGGCACAGCAAGUGAAGCUGUUCUAGUUGUAUUAUUGGCUGCUCGUGAUAAGGUUUUGAAUAGGGUUGGAAAAACAGCCCUUGAAAAGCUUGUUGUGUAUACAUCUGAUCAAACACAUUCCGCUCUUCAAAAAGCCUGUCAGAUAGGGGGAAUCCAUCCCGAAAAUUGCAGGGUGCUAAAAACAGACGCUUCUACUGACUAUGCACUUUCUCCAGAAUUACUCAGUGAAACAAUUUCGCAUGACAUUGCUGUGGGAUUAAUCCCUUUCUUUCUGUGUGCUACAGUUGGCACCACUUCAUCAUCAACUGUUGAUCCUUUGAGAAAAUUGGGAAAGAUUGCUAAGACUAAUGGAAUGUGGUUUCAUGUGGAUGCUGCAUAUGCUGGAAGUGCUUGUGUAUGUCCAGAAUAUCGUCACUACAUUGAUGGUGUCGAAGAAGCUGACUCUUUUAAUAUGAAUGCACAUAAAUGGUUCCUAACAAAUUUCGAUUGCUCAGCCCUUUGGGUAAAGGACAGAAAUGCUUUGAUAAGGUCCCUAUCCACGAACCCAGAGUUUCUCAAAAACAAAGCAUCUGAAGCGAAUUUGGUUGUGGAUUAUAAAGAUUGGCAAAUUCCACUUGGACGUCGGUUUAGGUCAUUGAAACUCUGGAUGGUGCUACGGCUGUAUGGUUCGGAGAAUCUACAGUGCUACAUAAGAAAUCAUAUCAAGUUGGCUGCACAUUUUGAAGGGCUUGUCAAACAGGACCAAAGAUUUGAGGUUGUUACCCCUCGGAUAUUUUCGUUGGUUUGUUUUCGCCUUCUGCAUCCCAACAAAGAUGAAGACAAUGCCAACCAACUGAACCGCAAACUGUUACAUGAUGUAAAUUCAACUGGGAAAAUCUUCAUAUCUCACACAGUUCUGUCCAGUGAAUAUAUUUUACGCUUUGCAGUAGGAGCCCCACUGACUGAAGAAAGGCAUGUAAAUGCAGCAUGGAAAGUUUUGCAAGAUGAGGCCUCUGCCUUGCUCAAAAAUCUCUAGGUGUCAAUUCUUGUGGUGGUAGCUCUGCUGUUACAUUCACUUCGAGAAAUAAACUGAUGACCCAACACGUGCACAACAAAUAAGGCCUAGCACUAAGGCUACUCUCACGCAAAGGCCGGGCAACAACAAAUACACAAAGGCCCACACUUGGGGCAACACCAAAUAGGGGGCUUAAAUUGAGGAAGCUAAGGUUUGAACCGAAAACCUCCCGCUCAAAUACCAUUUUAAGAUUAAUUACUUUGCCAUUCAACCCAAUAAGUUAUGGUUUGGGUUGAGGCAUUUCACAUCAUUUAUACAUAUUCUAACAAAAUGGAACUACAAGAAUGCUAUUUUGGUGUUUCUACUCUUAUAUAAUAUCUAGACAUUCAAAUUAGUACGCUUCAUG